rnacentral:rRNA from 1 species
UGCAGUCGAACGGUUGUAGCAAUACAGCAGUGGCAGACGGGUGAGUAACACGUGGGAACCUACCUAGGGGUACGGAAUAACUCAGGGAAACUUGUGCUAAUACCGUAUACGACCUUCGGGUGAAAGAUUUAUCGCCCCUAGAUGGGCCCGCGUUGGAUUAGCUAGUUGGUGGGGUAAAAGCCUACCAAGGCGACGAUCCAUAGCUGGUCUGAGAGGAUGAUCAGCCACACUGGGACUGAGACACGGCCCAGACUCCUACGGGAGGCAGCAGUAGGGAAUCUUGGACAAUGGGCGAAAGCCUGAUCCAGCCAUGCCGCGUGAGUGAUGAAGGCCUUAGGGUUGUAAAGCUCUUUCGCCAGGGAAGAUAAUGACGGUACCUGGAUAAGAAGCCCCGGCAAACUUCGUGCCAGCAGCCGCGGUAAUACGAAGGGGGCUAGCGUUGUUCGGAAUUACUGGGCGUAAAGCGCACGUAGGCGGUUUUCCAAGUUGGAGGUGAAAUCCCUGGGCUCAACCCGGGAACUGCCUCCAAAACUGGAUGACUCGAGUCCGAGAGAGGUGAGUGGAAUUUCCAGUGUAGAGGUGAAAUUCGUAGAUAUUGGAAAGAACACCAGUGGCGAAGGCGGCUCACUGGCUCGGUACUGACGCUGAGG